GAAAUUUCUUACGCCAAUCUUGGGGUAGAAAGGCUAAUACUCCGACAUGCCCGACAAAAGGUGAAAGUGACUCGGGUAUGAGAGCUCGGUGAAGACGGCGAAACAUCGGCCUGUCAAAUGGCUGGUAAAGUGGUCGGGUCGCCAUAAA
rfam:Peptococcaceae bacterium CEB3 CEB3_contig000059, whole genome shotgun sequence.